GCAUAACUAAGCUCGUGUGUGCCGAUGGAACUGACGGUUUGUUCAUUAGCACAAAGUUUCUAAACGAUACCGUGAGAGCCGAUGCAGAUUCCAUGACCUUGACGGUUGAGAGCGGCGUGACACUUAGGCAGCUAAUUGCUGAGGCGGCUAAGGUUGGAUUAGCGUUGCCUUAUGCACCGUAUUGGUGGGGACUGACCGUGGGUGGUAUGAUGGGAACCGGUGCUCAUGGGAGCUCAUUGUGGGGUAAAGGAAGUGCGGUCCAUGAUUAUGUGACUGAGAUCAGGAUGGUUAGUCCUGGUUCGGCCAACGAUGGGUUUGCAAAGGUUAGAGUCUUAAAUGAGCUUACGACUCCUAACGAGUUUAACGCGGCCAAGGUUUCUCUCGGCGUUCUUGGUGUUAUCUCUCAGGUUUGGAAAUUUAAAAUGUCAUUAUCUUUUGUUGCUCACUGCGAAAAAAUAUCAUAAUUCUAACAUAUGUGUGUGUUUUCACAACAAUUGUUGGAAAAAGGUGACUUUUAAAUUGCAACCGAUGUUCAAGAGAUCUUUAAGAUAUGUUAUGCGAAACGAUUCAGAUUUCGGAGAUCAAGCCAUGACAUUUGGGAAGGAACAUGAGUUUGCGGAUUUCAUAUGGUUACCAAGCCAAGGCAAAGUGGUUUACCGAUUGGACGACCGAGUACCGGUCAACACUUCGGGCAACGGUUUAUUUGAUUUUUUGCCGUUCCGUUCGCAACUCUCUGCGGCAUUAGCCAUCAUUAGAUCCUCAGGUUCCUUCUUAUUUCUAUAGCUUUGUUUUUUUUUAUUUUUAUAUAUUGUCUGCAUGUGAUAAAAAUCUAUAGAAAAAUAUCAUUCAAUAAUUCUCUCUCUAUUUAUUAAAAUAUUUAUACGUAGUUUUGUUUUUGUUUUUUCUUUUGUUGUCUUGUAUUUAUUAAUUAAGAGGAGACGCAAGAGAGGUUCAGAGAUGCGAAUGGGAAGUGUGCGGGAGCCACAUUAAUUUCGUCGACACUGUUUGCUACAGCAUACGGUUUGACCAAUAAUGGUAUAAUUUAUUCAAACUUUUGUUCAUUUAAUCUAUACAUUUGUACAUUUUCAUUGAUGUUAAACAUCUUUAUCGGCUUUUACUUGUAGGCAUUAUAUUUACGGGUUAUCCGGUUAUUGGAAGUCAAAACCGAAUGAUGUCGUCAGGAUCAUGCCUAGACAGUCUUCAAGAUGGAUUGAUCACGGCGUGUCCAUGGGACUCACGUAUAAAAAGCGAAUUCUUUCACCAAACAACUUUCAGUGUGCCUCUCACGCAAGUCAAAAGUUUCAUCAAUGACAUCAAAUCUCUUGUCAAGAUCGAAUCGAAAUCUCUAUGCGGACUUGAGCUCUACUAUGGUAUUCUUAUGCGUUAUGUAACUUCAUCUCCAGCUUUACUUGGGAAAGAAAUCGAAGCUUUAGAUUUUGACCUAACCUAUUACCGAGCCAAAAACCCCUUAACUCCGCGACUUUAUGAAGAUUUCAUCGAAGAAAUUGAGCAAAUUGCGUUGUUCAAGUAUAAUGCAUUGCCACAUUGGGGUAAAAACAGAAACUUGGCGUUCGAUGGAGUGAUUAAAAAGUACAAGAACGCGAGUGCGUUCUUGAAAGUUAAAGAAAUGUACGAUCCAACUGGUUUAUUCUCGAGCGAGUGGACAGAUCAAAUCCUCGGAAUCAAAGGAGACGCGACGAUAGUGAAAGAUGGGUGUGCCUUGGAGGGAUUGUGUGUAUGCUCGAAGGAUUCUCAUUGUGCUCCGACCAAAGGAUAUAUGUGUCGUCCAGGAAAAGUCUACAAAGAAGCUAGGGUCUGUACACGUGUUGGUGACAGAAGUGUGAUUCAAUCAUUAAGUCACUAAUCUUAUUGCUUCUUAUAUAUGUCAUAUACAUAUCAUCUUCAUGUAGUCGAUAUUUAUCCUGACGAGUUAUUAUUAAAGUUUUUUUAAAUAAAAAUAAUUUGAAGGUGAAGAAGUGAUGAGAGGUUUUACCAUGUGACCAACUCCUCCUAAUUAAAAUAGAGUGAUUUAAUUAACGUUGUUGUAAUAAUAAUAACGUUAGCCAGACAUUAAUAAUUCGCUGUCUUGGUUUCUACUAAUGCUCGUCCGCUAAUUUUUUUGAAUCGUUACUUUGUGUGUGAAGGCAACGGCUUGUGGAUGACUACGUACCUUGGCAAUCUUAUCUUCAAUCAAAGAAAAUGAAAAAGAUAUUUGUCACUCAAUAUAGGACGGAACCACAACUAAUGUUGUAUUUUAUAAUAAAACUCAGCUAAUGGGUGUAUUAUAUAGUUUGAUAUAUUCAAGACGUUACAGACUAAAUGAAGACGAAAUGUGUAUGAUAAUUACUAGUUGAAUUUGUCAUUCCUAGAUAGUUGAUAAAAUAUUAGCCAUUAAAAUAUGUACGUCACCUUUCUUUUCUCUAAAAAAUUCAUAACAGGACGAGGAAUAAUUUGACUAAAAACGUUCAAAGUAAAGAAAAAUAGCGAACGAUGCCAGCGCCAAUGGGAUUGCGAAUUUGCGAUUGACUAUAGUAAAGAAUAUGGCCAACAAGUCUUUAAUUAAGACAAUGUAAUAUAUAAAUAAAACUAACAUGACAGUCCAUAAAAAUUCGAAUGUGAAUACUCGUUAGUUUUUUUUUUAUCUUGCAGAGUUACAGGAGAGCAAGAGCCAUCUCAUCUCAACCUUAUCUAAAAUUAAUCAAAUAAAAUAUUUUAUGUAAAUCGUACGGGCCUUUUAGGCCACACAGUCUCCAUUCUCUAUAUAUAUAGUCCAAACAUAUUCACAAUAAAUAUUCAACGAAACUCAAAUCGAAACCCAUGGCAUUUACUUCUCCUCCUUUGUAUGGUUCCCAAAACGCUAGAUUUUGGCGCAGCCUUAUCUGGUUAUAUUAUAUAUUUACACUUGUGCACACGGCAGUCUCAACACCUCCCGAAGAUCCUGUCAAAUGUGUGUCGGGAAACACGAAUUGUACGGUCACCAACUCAUACGGAGCCUUCCCUGACCGGUCCACAUGUCUAGCCGCCAACGUGGCAUACCCGAAAACCGAAGCCGAGCUUGUCUCUGUCGUGGCUGCAGCCACUCAAGCCGGACGAAAAAUGCGUGUAACCACUCGAUAUUCCCAUAGCAUUACUAAGCUCGUGUGUACCGACGGAACCGACGGUUUGUUCAUAAGCACAAAGUUCCUAAACCACACGGUGCAAGCAGAUGCAACGGCCAUGACCUUGACGGUUGAGAGUGGCAUGACGCUUAGGCAGUUAAUCGCUGAAGCCGCUAAAAUUGGAUUAGCGUUGCCGUAUGCACCGUAUUGGUGGGGACUAACUAUAGGUGGAAUGAUGGGAACCGGUGCUCAUGGGAGCUCGUUGUGGGGUAAAGGGAGUGCGGUCCAUGACUAUGUGACCGAGAUCAGGAUGGUUAGCCCAGGUUCAGUCAACGAUGGGUUUGCAAAGAUUAGGGUUUUAAGCGAGACUACGACUCCAANNN
rnacentral:lncRNA from 1 species